rnacentral:rRNA from 1 species
AGAGAGAGACAUGCGUGCAUAUCAAUAAGCGGAGGAAAAGAAACUAACAAGGAUUCCCCUAGUAACGGCGAGUGAAGCGGGAAGAGCUCAAAUUUGAAAUCUUAAAGGGUUUCCCUUACGAAUUGUAGUUUAAAGAAGUGUUUUCUGUUGAGGUUUUGGUAAAAGUUCUUUGGAAUAGGACAUCAUAGAGGGUGAGAAUCCCGUAUUUGACCUUUACUUUCAACUUUGUGAUACACUUUCAAAGAGUCGGAUUGUUUGGGAAUGCAGUCAAAAAUGGGUGGUAAAUUUCAUCUAAAGCUAAAUAUUGGCGAGAGACCGAUAGCGAACAAGUACCGUGAGGGAAAGAUGAAAAGAACUUUGAAAAGAGAGUUAAACAGUACGUGAAAUUGUCAAAAGGGAAGCGUUUGACACCAGUGUUGUUUUUCUGAAAAUCAAUUAAAGAACUGUUUAUGCUAAGUUGUUUAGACUUUAUCAGCUAACUGUUUAGUUUUGAGCUUUUCUUUAAUGCACUUUUCAGUUAACAAGUCAACAUCAAUUUCUUUUGCUGUAAAAAAGCUUGAGGAAGGUGGCUUGAGAUUCGUCUUAAGUGUUUAUAGCCUCUUGCCUAUGCAGUCGGAGAGAUUGAGGUCUGCAGCGUAGAUCCUUCGGGGCUAAAUGCAUUUGUGCUAAGUUAUAGCAUUUUAUAGACAACUUGUUGACUAUGAUUUGUCUUGUAGCUUACUCGCUUAUGUUAUUUUACCUACGCUUAGGAUGUUGACGCAUGAGAUAUACGC